UACGUAGGGUGCAAGCGUUAAUCGGAAUUACUGGGCGUAAAGCGUGCGCAGGCGGUUUUGUAAGUCUGACGUGAAAGCCCCGGGCUCAACCUGGGAAUUGCGAUGGAGACUGCAAGGCUUGAAUCUGGCAGAGGGGGGUAGAAUUCCACGUGUAGCAGUGAAAUGCGUAGAGAUGCGGAGGAACACCGAUGGCGAAGGCAGCCCCCUGGGCCAAUACUGACGCUCAGGCACGAAAGCGUGGGGAGCAAACAGG
rnacentral:rRNA from 1 species